rnacentral:lncRNA from 1 species
AUGUGUACACACAUGCAAUUUUUUUUUUAAUAAAAAAUACUUCCAAGUUCUUUUUGCAGCUUCUUUCCUUUUUAGCUAAAGGACAAACUCCUUGAGUACUGCCAUAUAAAAUAGAACUAGGGUGUGGGUCUCUUGGACUCAGCUAUCAAGGUCGGUGGUUCUUAGGCGCUAUUAGUGUUGUCUAAUUGCUAAUACCAAGAGGCCAGUGGUACUGUGUUCUGACUCAUCCUUAAGUUCCAUGGGCUAACUUUUCCAGCCUUGUUUGUGAUUGUGUGGGAACUUGUUCAAGGAACAGCAGAUGUGUACGGAACCCAGGCGAUCCCACCUCAGGCUCUGGACUUCAAUGUCUGCAGCAUAAAAUCACUCACUACCUGGACGAAGAGGAAAUCCAUUCUCGUCGUAUUUCACGGUCUUGGGUCUCAAAAGUAAGAGGUAGAGCCCCAUAGCAUAGUUUACAGUCCCCCUUCCCCGCCCCCACCGUGUUCUUUCCACACAGCCUAGCGCAGCUCCUUGGUAGGUUUGCAGCAGGUCAGUUCCGGCCUCUUGGGUGAGUCAGAUUUACCCCUUAGCCCUGUAUGAGCUCAGCUCCACCUCUCGGUCUCUGUCCAGUCUCGGGAUGCGUCUCCACCCUCACAGGAUAGCGUCCCAGGACUGCUCCUAUUUAGGAUAUGAGCUGCCACGUGCCCAAAGCAUGCUGGGUGCCCCUGGGGAGGGGAAGAUUCUCAGAAGGCAGGGCCA